UACGUAGGGUGCAAGCGUUGUCCGGAAUUAUUGGGCGUAAAGAGCUCGUAGGCGGUCUGUCGCGUCGGAUGUGAAAAUCCAGGGCUCAACCCUGGACCUGCAUUCGAUACGGGCAGACUAGAGUUCGGUAGGGGAGACUGGAAUUCCUGGUGUAGCGGUGAAAUGCGUAGAGAUCAGGAGGAACACCCGUGGCGAAGGCGGCACGCUGGGCCGGCCCUGACGCUGAGGCGCGAAAGCGUGGGGAGCGAACAGG
rnacentral:rRNA from 1 species